rnacentral:lncRNA from 1 species
UAAUUUUUGCCAUUUAUGCAUACAUAUCCAACAUCUAUGCAUCAUAAUCAUUCACCUAUGCAAAUCAAACAAAACCUAUCAAAUAAUCGCAAAAAAUGAUAACUAUGAAACACAAUCCAACAUCUAUGCAUCACCAUAUUUCAUCUAUGCAAAUCAACAACACCCAUCAUCUACUAAAUUUUACAAAAAUUAACAAAAUCGGCCAGAAUCGGUUGAAGCCAAAUCGUGCAUAUCUCAAUUUCGAAUCAAAUAAAACCAAAUCAAACAAACAGCUAUGCAAUUACAUAAAACAUCUAUGCAAUUAUAAUACCUCAAUUUCGAAUCGGUUGAAGCUUCCGCCGCCUCCUCCUUGGAAUAAUCGGACGCCCCCCUCUUGGAAUAAUCGGACUGCCUCCGCCGCCGAGCGCCAACUCCUGUUACAGAUCGCUACUUUGCCUUCGAAACCGCCGGG